rnacentral:rRNA from 1 species
UGGGGAAUCUUGCACAAUGGGGGCAACCCUGAUGCAGCGACGCCGCGUGAGCGAUGAAGCCCUUCGGGGCGUAAAGCUCUUUCGACCGGAACGAUAAUGACGGUACCGGGAGAAGAAGCUGCGGCUAACUACGUGCCAGCAGCCGCGGUAAUACGUAGGCAGCAAGCGUUGUUCGGAGUUACUGGGCGUAAAGAGUGCGUAGGCGGUUUUCUAAGUUCGGUGUGUAAUCUCCCGGCUUAACUGGGAGGGUGCGCCGAAGACUGGGAAGCUGGAGUGUGGGAAAGGCAGGCGGAAUUCCUGGUGUAGCGGUGAAAUGCGUAGAUAUCAGGAGGAACACCGGCGGUGUAGACGGCUUGCUAGACCAUAACUGACGCUGAGGCACGAAAGCGUGGGUAGCAAACA